rnacentral:rRNA from 1 species
UACGAAGGGGGCUAGCGUUGCUCGGAAUCACUGGGCGUAAAGGGUGCGUAGGCGGGUCUUUAAGUCAGGGGGUGAAAUCCUGGAGCUCAACUCCAGAACUGCCUUUGAUACUGAAGAUCUUGAGUUCGGGAGAGGUGAGUGGAACUGCGAGUGUAGAGGUGAAAUUCGUAGAUAUUCGCAAGAACACCAGUGGCGAAGGCGGCUCACUGGCCCGAUACUGACGCUGAGGCACGAAAAGCGUGGGGGAGCAAACAGGG